rnacentral:rRNA from 1 species
GAUCCUGGCUCAGAUUGAACGCUGGCGGCAGGCCUAACACAUGCAAGUCGAACGGUAGCAGGGAACAGCUUGCUGUUUCGCUGACGAGUGGCGGACGGGUGAGUAAUGUCUGGGAAACUGCCUGAUGGAGGGGGAUAACUACUGGAAACGGUAGCUAAUACCGCAUAACGUCGCAAGACCAAAGAGGGGGGACCUUCGGGCCUCUUGCCAUCGGAUGUGCCCAGAUGGGAUUAGCUUGUUGGUGGGG